UGGUAGUCCUUCUCUGUUUCUUAGCAAAUUUCUUAGGUAUAGAUUUUUAUUUUUAAUGUAACAUAAGCUAAGAAUUUGAAGGAUCGUUUCUAAUUUUAGGAUUGAAAGAAACGUUUCUUGGUGGACAGGUGUCACCAAAUCAAUGGUUGAAUGGUAAAAAUGAGUUUAAUGGGUUUAAUUUUUUUUUUUGGCAUUCCUCUUUCUUCUUCGUGUUCUCUCUUCUCUCUCUCUCUCUCGACAAAUCGGCGAUUCCCAUUGAUUCUUUUCUUCGAUUCCAAAAGAUUUUUUUCUUCUCUUCCAAUUGAUUCCCACGUCUGAUUCUCCAUGGAUUCGGCGUCAAUUUCGUUCCGGUGAAGCAGAAGGCAUUUGAUUCCGGUGAAGAUCGAUCCGUCGAAACCCUAAUAUUUGGGGAAGAUUCAAGCAGUUCGAUUCUCAGGCUUCGUAUGUGGUAAUAAUCUUAGUCUCUCUUGCUUCUUUAUUUUUUUCCGGUUGGUUGCUGGGAACUUGAGCAAUCAUCUCAAUAUGUAAGAAAUUGAUUUCAUUGGUGGGUGUGUCAGUGUCAAUUUUUAGCAACAUUUGUUACUCUCAGUAGCUCACAAAUGUUAGAUCAAGAUUUAGGUUGUUAUGAUUCAUUAAUGAGGAAAUCUUGUCACGCAUAUGAUUCGUUUUGUAAGGUUUGAUCAACACAUGUAUCUCAAACAUUAUGAGUUGUUUUUGUUCUUGUUUGCUUGCUUGCCUGUGGCUGUGCAGAUUAAAGAACAAUUGAAUGCUGAGUCGGUUACUGUAACGGAUAUGUCUGGCGAUGGACGUCAUGUCUGCAUCAAUGUGGUAUCAUCGGCUUUUGAGGGACAGUCUGCGGUGAACAGGCAAAGGAUGGUCUACAAAGCCAUUUGGGAAGAGCUUCAGAACGUAGUUCAUGCUGUUGAUCAAAUGACUACAAAGACUCCUUCAGAAGUUUGAAACACUAAAAUGCCUUUUCAAUAUCUCUAUUACAACACUUGAAUUUUAUCAAUAUCGGUCUCUUCUUGAACGUCUCUCAGACAAAGUCCAUUGAUCAAGACACCUGUGUCUUGGGUAUUGGAACGUGGAAGAUCAUACCGUGACCCUCUAGUUCACUCGAAUUUAGGUGACUGAACCAGUGGAGGAAUGUUAGGGCUUUUCUAUGUACCGAAAUUUUGGUCUUGCCUCUGUAUACAUGUUCUCCAAUGAAACACACGAAGUCUGUCAAACCUCAAAAACCGUAUUUGCAUUAGUCGCUGAUUAAGUGUAGAAUAGACUGAAUAAUGUAAUGUUUUGCAAAGAUAUUUUGGUCAUAAAAAUAAAACAUCAAAACUGAUUUUUAACAGCCAUUGUUAGCUGAAUUGUCUUUGUAAAUUUAAAGUAUUCAGAAUUUAACUGUAUUUUAUUGUAAUGAUAUGAUAG